rnacentral:lncRNA from 1 species
CUAUAGACUAGAACUCCCCAUUGCUAAUAUAGUCCUGAAAUGCCUAAUAUUAAUGUUUUUUUAGGAAAGAUAAAGGAGGUGCCUGUUUGAGAGAAAUCAAAAGUCGUCUUUCUUUUUAUUCAACUCCUUUCCCUUUGACUUGCAUACUUGAUUAUAUUUAGAAGGAUCGGGGAUUGAACCUUUUCUUGAGAGAAAAUGUUCGACAGUUU